UACGAAGGGGGCUAGCGUUGUUCGGAAUUACUGGGCGUAAAGCGCACGUAGGCGGAUAUUUAAGUCAGGGGUGAAAUCCCGGGGCUCAACCCCGGAACUGCCUUUGAUACUGGGUAUCUCGAGUCCGAGAGAGGUGAGUGGAAUUCCGAGUGUAGAGGUGAAAUUCGUAGAUAUUCGGAGGAACACCAGUGGCGAAGGCGGCUCACUGGCUCGGGUACUGACGCUGAGGUGCGAAAGCGUGGGGAGCAAACAGGG
rnacentral:rRNA from 1 species